rnacentral:sRNA from 1 species
GUUACAAUGUGAGGAGUGUGUCGCGACCAGCUGAGAAAGAUUUUGCCCAUUCCCAUUCCCAUCCCCUUUUCCCAUUUCGCCUCUCGGGGCUGGCGCCAGACAGCCAGCAGUCAAAUCACAACGACCAAGAGUUUGGCUGAUCACAAGCUUGCCAAGAAGGGAUGGCUGUUGUACGAUUGGGCGGUAUGAUAAGAAUGGGGAUUCUCGAAGAGACACGGCACAGGGAUCCGUGAGGUCUGCCAGCCUGAACGGCGCAAAAAACAGAAGGCAGAGAGCAGGGUUGGGGAGAGUGAUCGAAAUUCAUGAAACGAGCUACCCAAGGGGAUGGAAAAUUCUUUUUUUUUUUGAACUCGUCAGGGCGCCAGCGUUGACAGGGUUGGUAUGUAUGUCAUGAGUUGGUUGGAAGGGUGCAACCACUCUGGAGUUGAAAAAUAAUGCGUUUUAACAAUAACAUUUACUAGUAUUUAUUAUUGGG